UCGAAACACUGGUUUCCAUACGAUCACUGAAGUUAAACAACAUUGAGCCUGGUCAGUAGCUGGAUGGGUGACUGCUUAGGAAUACAAGGUGCU